GACGAACGCUGGCGGCGUGCUUAACACAUGCAAGUCGAACGGUAAGGCCCUUCGGGGUACACGAGUGGCGAACGGGUGAGUAACACGUGGGUGAUCUGCCCUGCACUUUGGGAUAAGCCUGGGAAACUGGGUCUAAUACCGGAUAGGACCACUGCCUGCAUGGGUGGUGGUGGAAAGCUUUUGCGGUGUGGGAUGGGCCCGCGGCCUAUCAGCUUGUUGGUGGGGUGAUGGCCUACCAAGGCGACGACGGGUAGCCGGCCUGAGAGGGUGACCGGCCACACUGGGACGGAGAUACGGCCCAGAGUCCUACGGGAGGCAGCAGUGGGGAAUAUUGCACAAUGGGCGCAAGCCUGAUGCAGCGACGCCGCGUGAGGGAUGACGGCCUUCGGGUUGUAAACCUCUUUCAGCACCGACGAAGCGCAAGUGACGGUGGGUGCAGAAGAAGGACCGGCCAACUACGUGCCAGCCGCCGCCGUAAUAC
rnacentral:rRNA from 1 species